CGCGUAGGCGGCGCUGGAAGUCAGGCGUGAAAGCCCCGGGCUCAACCUGGGAGGUGCGCUUGGGACUCUGGUGCUGGAGUUCGGGAGAGGAGCGUGGAAUUCCCAGUGUAGAGGUGAAAUUCGUAGAUAUUGGGAAGAACACCGGUGGCGAAGGCGGCGCUCUGGACCGAUACUGACGCUGAGGCGCGAAAGCGUGGGGAGCAAACAGGAUUAGAUACCCUGGUAGUCCACGCUGUAAACGAUGUGUGCUAGACGUUGGGGAGCCUAGCUCUUCGGUGUCGCCGCAAACGCUUUAAGCACACCGCCUGGGGAGUACGGCCGCAAAGGUUAAA
rnacentral:rRNA from 1 species